AGCGAACGCUGGCGGCAGGCUUAACACAUGCAAGUCGAGCGGGCGUAGCAAUACGUCAGCGGCAGACGGGUGAGUAACGCGUGGGAACGUACCUUUUGGUUCGGAACAACACAGGGAAACUUGUGCUAAUACCGGAUAAGCCCUUACGGGGAAAGAUUUAUCGCCGAAAGAUCGGCCCGCGUCUGAUGAGCUUGUUGGUGAGGUAACGGCUACACAAGGCGACGAUCAUUAGCUGGUAUUAGAGGAUGAUCGGCCACAUUGGGACUGAGACACGGACCAAACGCCUACGGGAGCCAGAAGUGGGGAAUAGUGGACAAUGGGCGCAAGCCUGUUCCAGCCAUGCCGCGUGAGUGAUGAAGGCCCUAGGGUUGUAAAGCUCUUUUAACGGGGAAGAUAAUGACGGUACCCGUAGAAUAAGCCCCGGCUAACUUCGUGCCAGCCGCCGCCGUAA
rnacentral:rRNA from 1 species